rnacentral:rRNA from 1 species
UACGUAGGGGGCUAGCGUUGUCCGGAAUCAUUGGGCGUAAAGCGCGUGUAGGCGGUCCGGUAAGUCCGCUGUGAAAGUCGGGGGCUCAACCCUCGGAUGCCGGUGGAUACUGUCGGGCUUGAGUACGGAAGAGGCGAGUGGAAUUCCUGGUGUAGCGGUGAAAUGCGCAGAUAUCAGGAGGAACACCAAUUGCGAAGGCAGCUCGCUGGGACGUUACUGACGCUGAGACGCGAAAGCGUGGGGAUCGAACAGG